rnacentral:rRNA from 1 species
GACGAACGCUGGCGGCGUGCUUAACACAUGCAAGUCGAACGGAAAGGCCCUGCUUUUGUGGGGUGCUCGAGUGGCGAACGGGUGAGUAACACGUGAGUAACCUGCCCUUGACUUUGGGAUAACUUCAGGAAACUGGGGCUAAUACCGGAUAGGAGCUCCUGCUGCAUGGUGGGGGUUGGAAAGUUUCGGCGGUUGGGGAUGGACUCGCGGCUUAUCAGCUUGUUGGUGGGGUAGUGGCUUACCAAGGCUUUGACGGGUAGCCGGCCUGAGAGGGUGACCGGCCACAUUGGGACUGAGGUACGGCCCAGACUCCUACGGGAGGCAGUAGUGGGGAAUAUUGCACAAUGGGCGGAAGCCUGAUGCAGCAACGCCGCGUGCGGGAUGACGGCCUUCGGGUUGUAAACCGCUUUCGCCUGUGACGAAGCGUGAGUGACGGUAAUGGGUAAAGAAGCACCGGCUAACUACGUG